rnacentral:rRNA from 1 species
CCUACGGGGGGCAGCAGUGAGGAAUAUUGGUCAAUGGGCGCAAGCCUGAACCAGCCAAGUCGCGUGAGGGAUGACGGUCCUUGGAUUGUAAACCUCUUUUGUCGGGGAGCAAGGCACGCCACGUGUGGCGGGAAGGAGAGUACCCGAAGAAAAAGCAUCGGCUAACUCCGUGCCAGCCGCCGCGGUAAUACGGAGGAUGCGAGCGUUAUCCGGAUUUAUGGGGUUUAAAGGGUGCGUAGGCGGAAGGUUAAGUCAGCGGUCAAAUGUCGGUGCUCAACACCGGCCGGCCGUUGAAACUGGUAUUCUUGAGUGAGAGAGAAGUAUGCGGAAUGCGUGGUGUAGCGGUGAAAUGCAUAGAUAUCACGAGGAACCCCGAGUGCGAAGGCAGCCUGCCGGGGUGAGACUGACGCUGAGGCUCGAAGGUGCGGGUAUCAAACAGGAUUAGAUACCCCGGUAGUC